UCAUCAUGCCCCUUAUGACCUGGGCUACACACGUGCUACAAUGGGCGGUACAAAGGGCUGCGAACCCGCGAGGGGGAGCGAAUCCCAAAAAGCCGCUCUCAGUUCGGAUUGCAGGCUGCAACUCCGCCUGCAUGAAGCCGGAAUCGCUAGUAAUCGCGGAUCAGCAUGCCGCGGUGAAUACGUUCCCGGGCCUU
rnacentral:rRNA from 1 species